UGCCAGCCGCCGCGGUAAUACGAAGGGUGCAAGCGUUGUUCGGAUUUAUUGGGCGUAAAGCGCGCGUAGGCGGAUAGCUAAGCCAGAUGUGAAAUCUCGGGGCUCAACCCCGAAACUGCGUCUGGAACUGGUUAUCUAGAAUCUUGGAGGGGGAAGGGGAAUUUCGCAUGUAGGGGUAAAAUCCGUAGAGAUGCGAAGGAACACCAGAGACGAAGGCGCCUUCCUGGACAAGUAUUGACGCUAAGGCGCGAAAGCGUGGGGAGCAAACAGGAUUAGAUA
rnacentral:rRNA from 1 species